AAUCAAGAGCUCCAGCCAUCGGCCCUGGCCGGCUGGACAGCAACCCUCUCGUCGUAGCGGGGUGCUCCAGGUGAAGAUUCGGCCCUGCCGCGGACAUCCCCGCGGGGCAAGUACGGCGC
rnacentral:ncRNA from 2 species